rnacentral:rRNA from 1 species
GGUCAAGCAUUAAGAGCGCAGGGUGGAUGCCUUGGCACUGAGAGCCUAAGAAGGACGCGGCAAGCUGCGAAAAGCUUCGGGGAGGCGCACACAGCCUGAGAUCCGGAGAUAUCCGAAUGGGGAAACCCGCAUGAGCAGACCUCAUGCAUUCCUACGCCAAUUCAUAACGUAGGGAAGGGAACCGGGGGAACUGAAACAUCUAAGUACCCCGAGGAGAAGAAAGAAAACUCGAUUUUCCAAGUAGCGGCGAGCGAACGGGAAAGAGCCCAAACCAUGGUGCGUGCACCAUGGGGUUUUGGACUGCAGGAGGUACUUUCUAACUUAGCCGAAUGGUUUUGGGAAAGCCAUCCAAAGAGGGUGAAAGACCCGUAGGCGAAAAGAAGGAAAGACCGGCAGGAUCCAGAGUACCACGAGACACGAGAAACCUUGUGGGAAGACGGGGGGACCACCCCCCAAGGCUAAAUACUCCUCAGUGACCGAUAGCGCAUAGUACUGUGAAGGAAAGGUGAAAAGGACCCCGGGAGGGGAGUGAAAGAGAACCUGAAACCCUGUGUUUACAAGCUGUGGAAGUGUUACAAAUGCACAACCGCGUACUUUUUGUAGAACGGUCCGGCGAGUUGCGGGUGCCGGCAAGGUUAAGCACUGUCAGGUGUGGAGCCGAAGGGAAACCAAGUCUUAAGAGGGCGAAAGUCGGAACACGCAGACCCGAAACCGGGUGAUCUACCCAUGUCCAGGUUGAAGCUGCCGUAAAAGGCCGUGGAGGACCGAACGCACAUCCGUUGAAAAGGGUGGCGAUGAGGUGUGGGUAGGGGAGAAAUUCCAAUCGAACCCGGAGAUAGCUGGUUCUCCUCGAAAUAGCUUUAGGGCUAGCCUCAGACAAGAUACACGGAGGUAGAGCACUGAAUUCCCAAGGGGGCGUCAAAGCUUACCAAAGGAUAUCAAACUGCGAAUGCCGUGAUACCGAUGUCUGGGAGUCAGACCAUACGAGAUAAGUUGGAUGGUCAAAAGGGAAACAGCCCAGAUCUGCAGCUAAGGUCCCAAAGUGCGUGUUAAGUGGAAAAGGAUGUGGGAUUUCAAAGACAACCAGGAUGUUGGCUCAGAAGCAGCCAUACAUUAAAAGAGUGCGUAACAGCUCACUGGUCGAGAGGUUCUGCGCCGAAAAUGUCCGGGGCUAAAACACGACACCGAAGCUCAGGAAUGAUUGUAAGAUCAUUGGUAGAGGAGCAUUGUCAGAACGAAGAAGCGGUACCGGAAGGGGCCGUGGAGAUCUGAGAAGAGAGAAUGCCGGAAUGAGUAGCGAGAGAGAGGUGAGAAUCCUCUCGGCCGAAUAUCCAAGGUUUCCAGAGUAAAGCUGAUCUUCUCUGGGUAAGUCGGGACCUAAGGCGAGGGCGAAAGCCGUAGUCGAUGGAAAGCAGGUGGAGAUUCCUGCACUGCAGUAAAACAGAACUGUGGGGACAUGUGUGGAGAGCACGGGCGCGGAAUGGAAAGCCGCGUGCAAGCGAAGGAGGAGUGCUGCAGGUAAAACCGCAGUACAAUCCAAAGACGUGAAGCGGACCGAAGUAAAGUAGGGAAGCGUGUGAGCCAUGGAUCAAGAAAAGCCGCUAUUGUUUUUAUUGUACCCGUACCGUAAACCGACACAGGUAGAUGAGGAGAGAAUCCUAAGGCCGACGGAAGAAGCAUUGUUAAGGAACUCGGCAAAAUGGCCCCGUAACUUCGGGAGAAGGGGUGCCUGGCGAAAGUCAGGCCGCAGAGAAAAGGCUCAAGCAACUGUUUAGCAAAAACACAGGUCUAUGCGAAACCGAAAGGUGAAGUAUAUGGGCUGACGCCUGCCCGGUGCUGGAAGGUUAAGAGGAGAGGUCAGAGCUACGGCUCAAAGCUUUGAAUUUAAGCCCCAGUAAACGGCGGCCGUAACUAUAACGGUCCUAAGGUAGCGAAAUUCCUUGUCGGGUAAGUUCCGACCCGCACGAAAGGCGUAAUGAUUUGAGCGCUGUCUCAACAAUGCAUCCGGUGAAAUUGAAGUACCAGUGAAGAUGCUGGUUACCCGCGCCAGGACGGAAAGACCCCAUGGAGCUUUACUCCAGUUUGGUACUGGGACCCGGUACUGCAUGUACAGGAUAGGCGGGAGGCUAAGAAGAAGGUACGCAAGUAUCUUUGGAGCCGCUGUUGGGAUACCGCCCUUGCAGUAGUGGAUUUCUAACCAGAGUCCGUGAACCGGACAUGGGACAAUGCCAGACGGGGAGUUUGACUGGGGCGGUCGCCUCCGAAAGAGUAUCGGAGGCGCUCAAAGGUUCCCUCAGGAUGGUUGGAAACCAUUCAAAGAGUGCAAAGGCAGAAGGGAGCUUAACUGCGACACCGACGGGUGGAGCAGAUACGAAAGUAGGACUUAGUGAUCCGGUGGUAUGAAAGUGGGAUUGCCAUCGCUCAACGGAUAAAAGCUACCCUGGGGAUAACAGGCUUAUCACUCCCAAGAGUUCACAUCGACGGAGUGGUUUGGCACCUCGAUGUCGGCUCAUCGCAUCCUGGGGCUGUAGUAGGUCCCAAGGGUUGGGCUGUUCGCCCAUUAAAGCGGUACGCGAGCUGGGUUCAGAACGUCGUGAGACAGUUCGGUCCCUAUCCGGCGUGGGCGUAGGAUAUUUGAGAGGAGCUGUCCUUAGUACGAGAGGACCGGGAUGGACCGGCCGCUGGUGUACCUGUUGAGCCGCCAGGCUCAGGGCAGGGUAGCCAAGCCGGGAAGAGAGAAACGCUGAAGGCAUCUAAGCGUGAAGCUCACCUCAAGAUGAGAUAUCCCAUUCGAAAGAAGUAAGACCCCUUGAAGACGACGAGGUAGAUAGGGCAGAGGUGGAAGUACAGCAAUGUAUGGAGCUGACUGUUACUAAUCGGUCGAGGGCUUGACCUC